AACGAACGCUGGCGGCAGGCCUAACACAUGCAAGUCGAACGCCGUAGCAAUACGGAGUGGCAGACGGGUGAGUAACACGUGGGAACGUACCCUUCGGUUCGGGAUAACUCAGGGAAACUUGAGCUAAUACCGGAUACGUCCGAGAGGAGAAAGAUUUAUUGCCGAGGGAUCGGCCCGCGUCUGAUUAGCUUGUUGGUGAGGUAACGGCUCACCAAGGCGACGAUCAGUAGCUGGUCNGAGAGGAUGAUCAGCCACAUUGGGACUGAGACACGGCCCAAACUCCUACGGGAGGCAGCAGUGGGGAAUAUUGGACAAUGGGCGCAAGCCUGACGACGCAACGCCGCGUGGAGGAUGAAGGUCUUCGGAUUGUAAACUCCUGUUGCUCGGGACGAAUGGCUCCGACCUAAUACGUCGGAGUGUGACGGUACCGGGUGAGGAAGCCCCGGCUAACUCUGUGCC
rnacentral:rRNA from 1 species